rnacentral:rRNA from 1 species
UACAGAGGUCUCAAGCGUUGUUCGGAUUCAUUGGGCGUAAAGGGUGCGUAGGUGGCGCGGUAAGUCGGGUGUGAAAUCUCGGAGCUUAACUCCGAAAUUGCAUUCGAUACUGCCGUGCUUGAGGACUGGAGAGGAGACUGGAAUUUACGGUGUAGCAGUGAAAUGCGUAGAGAUCGUAAGGAAGACCAGUGGCGAAGGCGGGUCUCUGGAACAUUUCUGACGCUGAGGCUCGAAAGCGUGGGGAGCAAACAGG